AAGUCGUAACAAGGUUUCCGUAGGUGAACCUGCGGAAGGAUCAUUAGAAUGAGAGCCGGACCAUGUCGUGGGCGAAAGCUCGCACGUGCCAGUAAGCGCCCGUAAACCUCCACCCUUGUGUAUUAUUCUUCUGUUGCUUUGGCAGGCCGCGACCCUCUGGGGGAGCGCUGGCUUCGGCUGGAGAGUGCCUGCCAGAGUCCAACCAUAAAUCUUGUCAUAGAACAGUACGUCUGAGUAAAUUGAUAAAUCAAUCAAAA
rnacentral:misc_RNA from 1 species